rnacentral:rRNA from 1 species
GACGAACGCUGGCGGCGUGCUUAACACAUGCAAGUCGAACGGAAAGGCCCUGCUUUUGUGGGGUGCUCGAGUGGCGAACGGGUGAGUAACACGUGAGUAACCUGCCCUUGACUUUGGGAUAACUUCAGGAAACUGGGGCUAAUACCGGAUAGGAGCUCCUGCUGCAUGGUGGGGGUUGGAAAGUUUCGGCGGUUGGGGAUGGACUCGCGGCUUAUCAGCUUGUUGGUGGGGUAGUGGCUUACCAAGGCUUUGACGGGUAGCCGGCCUGAGAGGGUGACCGGCCACAUUGGGACUGAGAUACGGCCCAGACUCUUACGGGAGGCAGCAGUGGGGAAUAUUGCACAAUGGGCGGAAGCCUGAUGCAGCAACGCCGCGUGCGGGAUGACGGCCUUCGGGUUGUAAACCGCUUUCGCCUGUGACGAAGCGUGAGUGACGGUAAUGGGUAAAGAUGCACCGGCUAACUACGUG